AUUGAACGCUGGCGGCAGGCCUAACACAUGCAAGUCGAGCGGAUGAGAGGAGCUUGCUCCUUGAUUCAGCGGCGGACGGGUGAGUAAUGCCUAGGAAUCUGCCUGGUAGUGGGGGAUAACGUUCCGAAAGGAACGCUAAUACCGCAUACGUCCUACGGGAGAAAGCAGGGGACCUUCGGGCCUUGCGCUAUCAGAUGAGCCUAGGUCGGAUUAGCUAGUUGGUGGGGUAAUGGGUCACAAAGGCGACGAUCCGUAACUGGUCUGAGAGGAUGAUCAGUCACAAUGGAACGGAGACACGGUCCAGACUCCUACGGGAGGCAGCAGUGGGGAAUACUGGACAAUGGGCGAAAGCCUGAUCCAGCCAUGCCGCGUGUGUGAAGAAGGUCUUCGGAUUGUAAAGCACUUUAAGUUGGGAGGAAGGGCAGUAAGUUAAUACCUUGCUGUUUUGACGUUACCAACAGAAUAAGCACCGGCUAACUUCGUGCCAGCAGCCGCCGUAAUAC
rnacentral:rRNA from 1 species